rnacentral:snRNA from 1 species
AUUCUUUCGGAGAUUCUUUGGAAUGAUACAGAUAAGAUUAGCAUGGCUCCUAUACAAUGAUGACAUGAGAAAUAGUCCAAAAAAAUUGCCAACUGAUU